rnacentral:sRNA from 1 species
AAAGACUGAAUCAUCAUCAUAUUCUAAGAACCAACAAGUGACAAAUUUAAGAAUCAAAAUGCAAUAAAAGGUAAACUCACCAAGAUGACGCAAAUAACAGGUGGAUAAAAGUGCAAUCAGGGGUGAAUACAAAUAAAUCUAAGAAGAAUAGAAGUCAUAAGGAUGGAUUCAUUGAUAAGGGCAACUCUAGGGUUCAUCAGGUGGCUAACAUGCGAAA